rnacentral:rRNA from 1 species
ACCAUGGGGUAUUCGAGCCUGCCUUCGACAAGGAGGGUUAAGUCGUAACAAGGUAUCUGUAGGGGAACCUGCAGAUGGAUCACCUCCUAAGAAAAC